AGAGUUUGAUCCUGGCUCAGAAUCAACGCUGGCGGCAUGCCUAACACAUGCAAGUCGAACGCGAAAGGGGCUUCGGCCCUGAGUAGAGUGGCGAACGGGUGAGUAACACGUGGGUGACCUACCUUCGAAUGGGGGAUAACGUUCCGAAAGGGACGCUAAUACCGCAUAACAUCCUGCCUUUGAACAGGUGGAGAUCAAAGCCGGGGAUCGCAAGACCUGGCGUUUGAAGAGGGGCCCGCGUCCGAUUAGCUAGUUGGUGAGGUAAUGGCUCACCAAGGCAACGAUCGGUAGCCGGCCUGAGAGGGCGGACGGCCACACUGGGACUGAGACACGGCCCAGACUCCUACGGGAGGCAGCAGUGGGGAAUUGUUCGCAAUGGGCGCAAGCCUGACGACGCAAUGCCGCGUGGAGGAUGAAGGUCUUCGGAUUGUAAACUCCUGUUGCCCGGGACGAAUGUCUCCGACCUAACACGUCGGAGAGUGACGGUACCGGGUGAGGAAGCCCCGGCUAACUCUGUGCCAGCAGCCGCGGUAAUACAGAGGGGGCAAGCGUUGUUCGGAAUUACUGGGCGUAAAGGGCGCGUAGGCGGCCUGUUAAGUCGAACGUGAAAUCCCCGGGCUCAACCCGGGAACUGCGUUCGAGACUGGCGGGCUUGAAUUCGGGAGAGGGAUGCGGAAUUCCAGGUGUAGCGGUGAAAUGCGUAGAUAUCUGGAGGAACACCGGUGGCGAAGGCGGCAUCCUGGACCGGCAUUGACGCUGAGGCGCGAAAGCCAGGGGAGCAAACGGGAUUAGAUACCCCGGUAGUCCUGGCCCUAAACGAUGAAUGCUUGGUGUGGCGGGUAUCGAUCCCUGCUGUGCCGAAGCUAACGCAUUAAGCAUUCCGCCUGGGGAGUACGGUCGCAAGGCUGAAACUUAAAGGAAUUGACGG
rnacentral:rRNA from 1 species